UUCGGGGAGUGAGUGCUGGUAUGAGUCUGUCAUCCUUCUAGAGGGCCAUGCCUGCUGUUCAUUCAGCUGGGCGUGUGCUAUCUAGAUCUUUUACUUUGAAAAAAUUAGAGUGUUUAAAGCAGGCUUACGCUGUGAAUACAUUAGCAUGGAAUAAUAAUAUAGGACUUUGGUCUUAUUUUGUUGGUUCUGAGGACUGAAGUAAUGAUUGAUAGGGAUAGUUGGGGGUGCUAGUAUUCAGUGGCCAGAGGUGAAAUUCUUGGAUUCACUGAAGACUAACUACUGCGAAAGCAUUCACCAAGGAUGUCUUCUUUAAUCAAGAACGAAAGUUGGGGGAUCGAAGACGAUCAGAUACCGUCGUAGUCUCAACCAUAAACGAUACCGACUAAGGAUCAGCAGACGUCUUUUUUCGACUCUGUUGGCACUUUACGAGAAAUCAAAGUGCUUGGGCUCCAGGGGGAGUAUGGUCGCAAGGCUGAAACUUAAAGAAAUUGACGGAAGGGCACCACCAGGGGUGGAGCCUGCGGCUUAAUUUGACUCAACACGGGGAAACUCACCAGGUCCAGACACAAUGAGGAUUGACAGAUUGAGAGCUCUUUCUUGAUUUUGUGGGUGGUGGUGCAUGGCCGUUCUUAGUUGGUGGAGUGAUUUGUCUGCUUAAUUGCGAUAACGAACGAGACCUUAACCUGCUAAAUAGCCCGUAUUGCUUUGGCAGUACGCUGGCUUCUUAGAGGGACUAUCGG
rnacentral:rRNA from 1 species